AUUUGCGACGUCAAUCAGUUACCAUUCUGUCGUUAGUAAUCAGUGCUUGACAGAAAUUUCUGUAAAAUGACGCCGUUUAAUGUAGCAAACGUAAUAAACAUGUUAGCUACUACGUUUCAAAUUGCGAGUAUAACACAGACACCUAUAACACCAGUGGAAAUUGAAGUACAUAACGAAAUUAAAAAUAUUUUACAAAAAGCUCAGGACACACGUUCAGUGAUAUUGAUAGAUCAUGAUUACGUGCUUGAUUUUGAAGAUCCGUCGGAGCCACAUUCCACGCAAGUUGUAGAACAUAUUACGCCUGCAGAAAAAGAAGAAGAUGAAGGCAGUUUCGAACCUGAAGAAUGCGUUGUUGAUGAUGAAGGAGGCAUAGUCGACUUCAGUUAUAAGAGAAAAGCUGUGGAGUUUUGGAAAAGUGGAAAAAAGGCCUGUAGAACUUUAAGUGCAGUACAACACAAAUUCCGCAAGGUUAAAUCUUAUCAUCAACUAUACAGGUGGGAGACAAGUUUAGAAAAAGGUGGAACAAAUGCAGAUAAAUUUGCAUUUAUUGCGGAAUAUGUACUGCACAAGUUUCAAGAAGCUUGUGAUAGAAAAUCAAUCAUUCAUGAUAUGAAUUUAAGAUUAUGGGCCUUGGAGGCAAAGGAUCAAGUGGAUCUACCCGAAUUCAGGGCAAGUAAAUGGUGGAUUUGGAAGUUUAAAAAAGUACACGGAAUUGUUUCUCGAAAAAUAACCGCAUUCCGAACGCAAUUUACAUUUAAAGAUCAAGAAAAUAUACAAAAUGUCGCAAAAGAAUUUGUUUCAAAUGUAAAGUCCAAGAUUCCAGCUAUAGGACUAGAAGAAGUUUAUAAUGCAGACGAGAGUGGCUUCAACCUUGAAAUACAUUCUGGGCGAACAUUAGCGAAAUCAGGAGUGAAAAUAAUUGAGGCAGCAGUUCAAAGUAUAUCUUCAACAACACAUAGUUAUACUAUAAUGCCUCUUAUUUCGGCAAGUGGAAAUCUUCUUUCACCACUGUACAUCGUUUUGAAGGAGUCUACAGGAACAUUUGGACCGAGGGUGGAAGAAACUCUAUUUCGUCCAGUUAACAUAUACAUCCAGGCUUCAAAAUCAGGAAAACUCACUGCAGAACAUUUCAAAACUUGGUUCAUCGAAGUAUAUCUACCGAAUACUGGCAGUAAAAGUAUGCUUCUACUUGACUCAUGGACGGGACACUGCCCGAGCCAGCUAGAGCAACAUGUACCACAAGGUAAAGAAGAAAUACUCACGAUGACAUAAAAGAUGAAACUAAUUAAAAGAAAUCAUUGAUGCAUAACGAUAGCAACUUACAUUACUUCAAUGCUAUUUUAUUACACUGUUAUGUAUACCGCACCAUAAAAAAAGAUGAAACUCUAUUUUUUAACGUUAAAAUAUAUAUAUAAUAAUUACAUACAAUUAGGCAUGAUUUAUAUAUAUAAUUUUACGUAUUUUUAUAUAACCAUACAUAAUUGUUUACAAUGAUAUAUGUAUAGAUAGAUAUACAAUAUUUCUCUUCAGCUUACAAAAGAUUGUCAAGAAGGAGUCUUGGUUUACAAUAUUACUCUAAAAUUCAUGCAUCCAUUCACACAAUUCUACGCGCUUGCUACCUAUUCUUCAUCUUCCUAUUCUCUACCUAUAUACAUCUCUACACACUUCAUAAAUAUUUUACCUUUUACAUUUUUAACAAUUAUAUAAUGAUUACAGAAAGUUGUGUGCAAUUAUUAUAUAUAACUAUCACAUAGAUUUUAUAUAUAUUUACAUAUAUUUACAUGAAAAUUACGGAUUAUAUGUGCUACAGUAAUGAUAGUCUUCGUAAAAAUGUUUGAAACAAAAAUAUUCGCCACACCAUGCACAACGCAUAAAUGCGGCCUUUCCACAGAUACUACAUUUUGGCACAUGCUUUUCAGUUUUAAAAUAACAAUAUUCUACAGGGUUUUGAAAGUGGUCGGGACGCGUUUCUACAUAUCCGCUUUUAAACCACGAAUAUUUAAAAAGGUUUUUAAAUCUAGGUGAAGAUAGUUGAUUGUGAGUUAAUGAUUGUAAUUUAAUUAUUUCAUUACGGGAGUGCAAAUUAAUAUCUUCCUCUUGAAGAAUGACAUUAUCUGAAAAUGUUCGCACAAAAUUUUUCCAAAUUCGGAAUCCAAAGACAUCUAGAGGCUGAAUGAUACCCGUCGUCUUCUUUGGAAUGGUUAAAAAUGUAACUUCUUUACCUUGUGGUACAUGUUGCUCUAGCUGGCUCGGGCAGUGUCCCGUCCAUGAGUCAAGUAGAAGCAUACUUUUACUGCCAGUAUUCGGUAGAUAUACUUCGGUGAACCAAGUUUUGAAAUGUUCUGCAGUGAGUUUUCCUGAUUUUGAAGCCUGGAUGUAUAUGUUAACUGGACGAAAUAGAGUUUCUUCCACCCUCGGUCCAAAUGUUCCUGUAGACUCCUUCAAAACGAUGUACAGUGGUGAAAGAAGAUUUCCACUUGCCGAAAUAAGAGGCAUUAUAGUAUAACUAUGUGUUGUUGAAGAUAUACUUUGAACUGCUGCCUCAAUUAUUUUCACUCCUGAUUUCGCUAAUGUUCGCCCAGAAUGUAUUUCAAGGUUGAAGCCACUCUCGUCUGCAUUAUAAACUUCUUCUAGUCCUAUAGCUGGGAUCUUGGACUUUACAUUUGAAACAAAUUCUUUUGCGACAUUUUGUAUAUUUUCUUGAUCUUUAAAUGUAAAUUGCGUUCGGAAUGCGGUUAUUUUUCGAGAAACAAUUCCGUGUACUUUUUUAAACUUCCAAAUCCACCAUUUACUUGCCCUGAAUUCGGGUAGAUCCACUUGAUCCUUUGCCUCCAAGGCCCAUAAUCUUAAAUUCAUAUCAUGAAUGAUUGAUUUUCUAUCACAAGCUUCUUGAAACUUGUGCAGUACAUAUUCCGCAAUAAAUGCAAAUUUAUCUGCAUUUGUUCCACCUUUUUCUAAACUUGUCUCCCACCUGUAUAGUUGAUGAUAAGAUUUAACCUUGCGGAAUUUGUGUUGUAUUGCACUUAAAGUUCUACAGGCCUUUUUUCCACUUUUCCAAAACUCCACAGCUUUUCUCUUAUAACUGAAGUCGACUAUGCCUCCUUCAUCAUCAACAACGCAUUCUUCAGGUUCGAAACUGCCUUCAUCUUCUUCUUUUUCUGCAGGCGUAAUAUGUUCUACAACUUGCGUGGAAUGUGGCUCCGACGGAUCUUAAAAAUCAAGCACGUAAUCAUGAUCUAUCAAUAUCACUGAACGUGUGUCCUGAGUUUUUUGUAAAAUAUUUUUAAUUUCGUUAUGUACUUCAAUUUCCACUGGUGUUAUAGGUGUCUGUGUUAUACUCGCAAUUUGAAACGUAGUAGCUAACAUGUUUAUUACGUUUGCUACAUUAAACGGCGUCAUUUUACAGAAAUUUCUGUCAAGCACUGAUUACUAACGACAGAAUGGUAACUGAUUGACGUCGCAAAUGAAACUGGAAAUAAUACUUCCUCGGAUAUAUUUAUAUGACUCAAAAGACGCAAUUACAUAAAUUUAUUUACCGCGCGAAUAGAUUUUGCGCAAAUAGCUUAAACGUUAGAAAAUUGAUUUCCAAGAAAUCUUUUAUUUAAUCUUAUUUAUCGUCUGGUAUGCAAAAUUAAGAGGCGCGGUCGCGUCUCGCGCCAAGUGACAUGCGAAGCGAAGACCGAGUUUCUUUUUAGUCUAGACAUCAAGGUGACUUUAUGUUAUUAAACUUUACUUCGAAAAAUAGCAACGUAUUACAUUACUUCAAUGCUAUUUUAUUACACUAUUAUGCUAUUUUAUUACAUUAUUAUGCACGAUAAAUAAGAUUUUUCCUGGAACUCUAUUUUCUAAUAGGAGAUGACAAAAACAUUUCGAGGACAGUCUGCGUAAAUAUUAAUUAUAAAAUCGCGCACAUCUAGAGAAAUAUUUACGUAACAUUUGAAUGUAUAAUGUUCGAAGUAAAGUUAAUAAAUAAUGUAAGCAUACCUAUAUUAGAACAGUAGUAUAAAUACGUAAAACAAUAGUAUAAAUGAAACAGUAAUAUAGUGCUAUCGCUUUGGGUCAGUUUAGUAUAUUUGCAACAUUUUUUAUUGUGAAAAAUGAAAUCCUGUUCAAGCUGUGGCAAAUCUUAUCAACCUAAUCUUCCAUUUCCGCCUUCAAAAUGCGACACUUGUAAAGCAAGUGUCCCGGUGAAUAUAGUACGACCACUCAUUGAUGAAACAAAUUCUUCUACAGCUCCUCCUUUUACAGCUGAAGAAAUCAUGCGGCGCGGUGGCGGAAGAGGAGCAAUAAUUCAAAUACUACGGGAGAGGCGGGAGGCUCGUGAAAAUCGUUAAUUUAUAAUUUUGUAUAAUUUUUAAUUUUGACUUUCCACGACAAUUAGAAUAUGUAACUAUUUUUUACUCGAGAGUCGUUUACUCAAGUUUAGUUGUUUAACAAUAUUUUGUUAAUAUUAAGAUAUUUAUGAUAGCGGCUGAUGAAGGCCUAGUGAGGCAGAAAUUGGUUCCGCGUUAUUAUAAUAAUGUACAUUGCUCGCUAAUGUAUAAUGCUUGCUCCUACUUGUACAUAAUAAAAAUAUAUGUAAUUUAGAA